rnacentral:rRNA from 1 species
GAUGAACGCUAGCUACAGGCUUAACACAUGCAAGUCGAGGGGCAGCAUGGACCCAGUUUUGCUGGGUUUGAUGGCGACCGGCGCACGGGUGAGUAACGCGUAUCCAACCUGCCCUUUACUCCGGGAUAGUCUCCUGAGAGGGAGUUUAAUACCGGAUGUGUUUGUCUUUCCGCAUGGGAGCGACAAAUAAAGAUUGAUUGGUAAAGGAUGGGGAUGCGUCCCAUUAGCUUGUUGGCGGGGUAACGGCCCACCAAGGCGACGAUGGGUAGGGGUUCUGAGAGGAAGGUCCCCCACAUUGGAACUGAGACACGGUCCAAACUCCUACGGGAGGCAGCAGUGAGGAAUAUUGGUCAAUGGGCGGGAGCCUGAACCAGCCAAGUAGCGUGAAGGAUGACGGCCCUACGGGUUGUAAACUUCUUUUAUAAGGGAAUAAAGUUCGC